GACGAACGCUGGCGGCGUGCUUAACACAUGCAAGUCGAACGGUAAGGCCCUUCGGGGUACACGAGUGGCGAACGGGUGAGUAACACGUGGGUGAUCUGCCCUGCACUUCGGGAUAAGCCUGGGAAACUGGGUCUAAUACCGGAUAGGACUCCGGACUGCAUGGUCAGGGGUGGAAAGCUUUUGCGGUGUGGGAUGGGCCCGCGGCCUAUCAGCUUGUUGGUGGGGUGAUGGCCUACCAAGGCGACGACGGGUAGCCGGCCUGGGAGGGUGACCGGCCACACUGGGACUGAGAUACGGCCCAGACUCCUACGGGAGGCAGCAGUGGGGAAUAUUGCACAAUGGGCGCAAGCCUGAUGCAGCGACGCCGCGUGAGGGAUGACGGCCUUCGGGUUGUAAACCUCUUUCAGCAUCGACGAAGCGAAAGUGACGGUAGGUGCAGAAGAAGGACCGGCCAACUACGUGCCAGCAGCCGCAGUAA
rnacentral:rRNA from 1 species